GCCAGCAGCCGCGGUAAUACGAAGGGUGCAAGCGUUACUCGGAAUUACUGGGCGUAAAGCGUGCGUAGGUGGUUAUUUAAGUCCGUUGUGAAAGCCCUGGGCUCAACCUGGGAACUGCAGUGGAUACUGGAUGACUAGAGUGUGGUAGAGGGUAGCGGAAUUCCUGGUGUAGCAGUGAAAUGCGUAGAGAUCAGGAGGAACAUCCAUGGCGAAGGCAGCUACCUGGACCAACACUGACACUGAGGCACGAAAGCGUGGGGAGCAAACAGGAUUAGAUACCCUGGUAGUCCACGCCCUAAACGAUGCGAACUGGAUGUUGGGUGCAAUUUGGCACGCAGUAUCGAAGCUAACGCGUUAAGUUCGCCGCCUGGGGAGUACGGUCGCAAGACUGAAACUCAAAGGAAUUGACGGGGGCCCGCACAAGCGGUGGAGUAUGUGGUUUAAUUCGAUGCAACGCGAAGAACCUUACCUGGCCUUGACAUGUCGAGAACUUUCCAGAGAUGGAUUGGUGCCUUCGGGAA
rnacentral:rRNA from 1 species